UUGUCUCAAAGAUUAAGCCAUGCAUGUCUCAGUACAUACCGUUUUUUAUGGUGAAACCGCGAAAGGCUCAUUAAAUCAGUUAUGGUUCCUUAGAUCGUACCACAUUUACUUGGAUAACUGUGGUAAUUCUAGAGCUAAUACAUGCAAACAGAGAUCCAACCGGAGACGGGAGGAUUGCUUUUAUUAGAUCAAAACUAAUUGUGUCAUCCCUAGUGGCUCUAUAUGAUUCUGUACCUUUGCGUACGUUCAUAUAUCCCGGGUGUAUGUAACACAUAAUAUUAUUGGUGAAUCUGAAUAACAUGCUGAUCGCAUGGUCUCGUACCGGCGACACAUCUUUCAAAUGUCUGCCUUAUCAACUUUCGAUGGUAGGAUCUGCGCCUACCAUGGUUGUAACGGGUAACGGGGAAUCAGGGUUCGAUUCCGGAGAGGGAGCUUGAGAAACGGCUACCACAUCCAAGGAAGGCAGCAGGCGCGCAAAUUACCCACUCCCGGCACGGGGAGGUAGUGACGAAAAAUAACGAUACGGGACUCAUCCGAGGCCCCGUAAUCGGAAUGAGUACACUUUAAAUCCUUUAACAAGGAGCAACUGGAGGGCAAGUCUGGUGCCAGCAGCCGCGGUAAUUCCAGCUCCAGUAGCGUAUAUUAAAGUUGUUGCGGUUAAAAAGCUCGUAGUUGAAUUUGUGUCUUGCGCUGUCGGUUCAUCGCUUGAAUGCGGUGUUUAACUGGCACGUUGUGAGACGUCUUGCCGGAAGGGCAUGGUAUGUAUUUUGUUAGGUUUUAUUUUAAUUUAAUGGUGAUGUUGAAAAAUAUUAAUGUAUAUGGUGUGUAAAAGCCUGUAUAUAUUAUUUAUUAAAUAUGCAUUAUUAUUGUUAAAGUAAUACUAAUUCGAUGCGUACGUAGUCCGACUUCUAAUCCUGUCUAGGUGCUCUUAACUGAGUGUCGUGGCGGGCCGGCACGUUUACUUUGAACAAAUUAGAGUGCUUAAAGCAGGCUUAUGUUGCCUGAAUAUAGUGUGCAUGGAAUAAUGAAACAGGACCUCGGUUCUAUUUUGUUGGUUUUCUGAACUAACGAGGUAAUGAUUAAUAGGGACAGAUGGGGGCAUUCGUAUUGCGACGUUAGAGGUGAAAUUCUUGGAUCGUCGCAAGACGAACUUAAGCGAAAGCAUUUGCCAAAGAUGUUUUCAUUAAUCAAGAACGAAAGUCAGAGGUUCGAAGGCGAUCAGAUACCGCCCUAGUUCUGACUAUAAACGAUGCCAGCUAGCGAUCGGCCGAAGUUCCUCCGAUGACUCGGUCGGCAGCUUCCGGGAAACCAAAGCCUUUGGGUUCCGGGGGAAGUAUGGUUGCAAAGCUGAAACUUAAAGGAAUUGACGGAAGGGCACCACCAGGAGUGGAGCUUGCGGCUUAAUUUGACUCAACACGGGAAACCUCACCAGGCCCGGACACCGGAAGGAUUGACAGAUUGAGAGCUCUUUCUUGAUUCGGUGGGUGGUGGUGCAUGGCCGUUCUUAGUUGGUGGAGCGAUUUGUCUGGUUAAUUCCGAUAACGAGCGAGACUCUAGCCUGCUAAAUAGACGUACAAAACUCGAUUUCACGAUCGGGCACACCGGUAUUCCGAGGGUUGUCCUUCGACUAUUGGCCAUUCGUUGUUCGUUUCAUGUUUAUUUGGGGGAUGUUAUUGUGUUUAAUUAUGAUAUUCUGUAAAAGGCUUGCGUCAAUAAUGUAACCAAUUGUUUGUUGGCAAUCUUUACUACCGGCGUUAUAUUAAAUCUUCUUAGAGGGACAGGCGGCUUCUAGCCGCACGAGAUUGAGCAAUAACAGGUCUGUGAUGCCCUUAGAUGUUCUGGGCCGCACGCGCGCUACACUGAAGGAAUCAGCGUGUCCUCCCUGUUCGAGAGAACCGGGUAAUCCGCUGAAACUCCUUCGUGCUAGGGAUUGGGGCUUGCAAUUAUUCCCCAUAAACGAGGAAUUCCCAGUAAGCGUGAGUCAUAAGCUCGCGUUGAUUACGUCCCUGCCCUUUGUACACACCGCCCGUCGCUACUACCGAUUGAAUGAUUUAGUGAGGUCUUCGGACCGGUACUCGGCCGAUGUUUCGACGUCGCCGACGUUGCUGGAAAGAUGACCGAACUUGAUUAUUU
rnacentral:rRNA from 1 species